UCACCCCUCAAGCCUAGCUUGGUGUUGGAUGGUCGGUCGCGGUACCCCCACGACCCCUCCUAAAAGUAAUGACGGCGGCCUGUUGAACCCCCGGUACAUUGAGCUUCUUAAUUGAGCACGUAUCGGUUUUAAAAGGGUGGCGGGACCCCGGUCUUCUUCCUUUAUAGGAAAAUUUCUUCAA
rnacentral:misc_RNA from 1 species